GAAAUGCGAUAAGUAAUGUGAAUUGCAGAAUUCAGUGAAUCAUCGAAUCUUUGAACGCACAUUGCGCCCGCCAGUAUUCUGGCGGGCAUGCCUGUCCGAGCGUCAUUUCAACCAUCAAGCCCCCGGGCUUAUGUUGGGGACCUGCGGCUGCCCGCAGGCCCUGAAAACCAGUGGCGGGCUCGCUGUCACACCGAGUGUAGUAGCAAUCACCUCGCUCAGGGCGUGCUGCGGGUUCCGGCCGUUAAACAGCCUUACAAAACCCAAGGUUGACCUCGGAUCAGGUAGGAAGACCCGCUGAACUUAAGC
rnacentral:misc_RNA from 1 species